rnacentral:rRNA from 1 species
CGGGCAGCAAUAUGAAGGUCAGGCUGAAGACCUUACCCGAUUAGCUGAGAGGUGGUGCAUGGCCGUCGUUAGUUCGUACUGUGAAGCAUCCUGUUAAGUCAGGCAACGAGCGAGACCCACGUCCACAGUUGCCAGCAUACCCUCCGGGGUGAUGGGUACACUGUGGAGACCGCCGCUGCUAAAGCGGAGGAAGGAGUGGGCAACGGUAGGUCAGUAUGCCCCGAAUCUCCCGGGCUACACGCGGGCUACAAUGGUUGGUACAAUGGGCAUCUACCCCGAAAGGGGAAGGAAAUCUCUUAAAGCCAAUCGUAGUUCGGAUUGAGGGCUGCAACUCGCCCUCAUGAAGCUGGAAUCCGUAGUAAUCGCGUUUCAACAGAACGCGGUGAAUACGUCCCUGCUCCUU